UACGUAGGGUGCAAGCGUUGUCCGGAAUUAUUGGGCGUAAAGAGCUCGUAGGCGGUUUGUUGCGUCUGCUGUGAAAACCCGAGGCUCAACCUCGGGCCUGCAGUGGGUACGGGCAGACUAGAGUGCGGUAGGGGAGAUUGGAAUUCCUGGUGUAGCGGUGGAAUGCGCAGAUAUCAGGAGGAACACCAAUGGCGAAGGCAGAUCUCUGGGCCGUAACUGACGCUGAGGAGCGAAAGCAUGGGGAGCGAACAGG
rnacentral:rRNA from 1 species